rnacentral:rRNA from 1 species
AUUGAACGCUGGCGGCAUGCCUUACACAUGCAAGUCGAACGGUAACAGGUCUUCGGAUGCUGACGAGUGGCGAACGGGUGAGUAAUACAUCGGAACGUGCCUAGUAGUGGGGGAUAACUACUCGAAAGAGUGGCUAAUACCGCAUGAGAUCUACGGAUGAAAGCAGGGGAUCGCAAGACCUUGUGCUACUAGAGCGGCCGAUGGCAGAUUAGGUAGUUAGUGGGAUAAAAGCUUACCAAGCCGACGAGCUGUAGCUGGUCUGAGAGGACGAUCAGCCACACUGGGACUGAGACACGGCCCAGACUCCUACGGGAGGCAGCAGUGGGGAAUUUUGGACAAUGGGCGAAAGCCUGAUCCAGCAAUGCCGCGUGCAGGAUGAAGGCCUUCGGGUUGUAAACUGCUUUUGUACGGAACGAAAAGCCCCGGGUUAAUACCCUGGGGUCAUGACGGUACCGUAAGAAUAAGCACCGGCUAACUACGUGCCAGCCGCCGCAGUAA